CACACUGUAAACGAUGAAUACUAGGUGUGCGGGGACUGACCCCCUGCGUGCCGCAGUAAACACAAUAAGUAUUCCACCUGGGGAGUACGAUCGCAAGGUUGAAACUCAAAGGAAUUGACG
rnacentral:rRNA from 1 species